rnacentral:rRNA from 1 species
CCUACGGGGUGCUGCAGUGAGGAAUAUUGGUCAAUGGGCGCGAGCCUGAACCAGCCAAGUCGCGUGAGGGAAGACGGUCCUAUGGAUUGUAAACCUCUUUUGUCGGGGAGCAAAAGACGCCACGCGUGGCGUUCCGAGAGUACCCGAAGAAAAAGCAUCGGCUAACUCCGUGCCAGCAGCCGCGGUAAUACGGAGGGUGCAAGCGUUACUCGGAAUUACUGGGCGUAAAGGGCGCGGAGGCGGGAAAGCAAGUCAGCUGGGAAAUUCGAGGGCUGAACCAUAUACGUGCAUUUGAAACUGGUUUUCUAGAGUAAGCGAGAGGUAUGCGGAAUGCGUGGUGUAGCGGUAAAA